CCUGAGGGUUGUUGGACUGAGAAGUAUCCCAUCCUGUUCCAGCAGACACAGUCAAUUUUAACAAAUACACACCUGCCAGGCAACGGCCAAAACAUCUUAUGGCUACAGACCCACUGAAGAAAAGAAGAAGACUUUUAUCUGAAAUUGUUUUUAGAACCAAAUUCAUCAAACAUCGAAUGGAUCUGCAGAAAUACCAACAUCGGAGCCAGCUUCAAGCAGUAUAGAUACAUCAAAAGAGCUGUCAUCACUGGAUGCGCUGGCCUUAGUGGCAGAAAAUAAAAUUCUACAGCAGCAGUUAGCCAAGCAUGUGCUGAACAGUCAGAUAAAAGUUAACUUAUGAUAUUACACAGGAUUUUUAUUUGAACAGUUCAUAAAUAUUUUCAAGUUUUUGGUGCCUUACGAAUAUGCAUGACCAAUCAGUAUCAAGCAACAGUGACAACAUUAAAGGGACUUGUGGGAAUAAGCCUCAGAAUAUCAUUUACCUUCAUAUCCAUGCUUUUCCCUGGAUCAGUCUCCGAUAAGGAUACUACAGCUUCAAGUGGAGUACUAGCUUUACUUCAGCAUUUAAUGAUAGCGGAAAAUGGAAAAGGGUUUCAUUUUCAGGAUGAAAUAAAAAAAAAAAAACCUUACAUUCCACCUUUUGCAUCAGCCACAUCACAAAUCGAGCUGUAUUAUAAAUUGAAAUAGAAGCAGAUAGAAAAGUUUCAUUCUAAGCCCUCGAAAUCUCAACUGCAGAUGUAGCUCUUAUCUAAUACAAGACUAUCCUGGUAAGCUAAAGCACUGCCAAUAUUUUGGGCACCAUGCUCGGUCAUGACAGUUAGGUUUGGUAGAGAAGCCAAAUAUUCAAUUGGGGUGGACUUAAACCCUUGAAGAUGCUGUAUGAAGAUAGCUGUACUUUUAGGAAACAAGAUCACUAUAUUGUAAACCUUUACAUACUAAAAUAAACAUUACAAUUUAAUUGAAACAAAUGAUUAUUUUUAGCAUUUAACAAGAUAGAAAAAUGUUUUGUUUCUGUAAUGUUCAUUUUUUUGUGUAUGCUUCAUCAAAUAGAAUAAAACAUUUUUCAGUUAAAUUACAUUUUACAUGUAUUUGCAACUUCCUUGCAGUUU
rnacentral:lncRNA from 1 species